GUGAACCUGCAGCUGGAUCAUUU
rnacentral:rRNA from 1 species